CAAUAGCGUAUAUUAAAGUUGUUGCGGUUAAAAAGCUCGUAGUUGGAUUUCUGCCGAGGACGACCGGUCCGCCCUCUGGGUGUGUAUCUGGUUUGGCCUGGGCAUCUUCUUGGAGAGCGUAGCUGCACUUGACUGUGUGGUGCGGUGUCCAGGACUUUUACUUUGAGGAAAUUAGAGUGUUUCAAGCAGGCACACGCCUUGAAUACAUUAGCAUGGAAUAAUAAGAUAGGACCUCGGUUCUAUUUUGUUGGUUUCUAGAGCUGAGGUAAUGAUUAAUAGGGAUAGUUGGGGGCAUUCGUAUUUAACGGUCAGAGGUGAAAUUCUUGGAUUUGUUAAAGACGGACUACUGCGAAAGCAUUUGCCAAGGAUGUUUUCAUUGA
rnacentral:rRNA from 1 species